rnacentral:rRNA from 1 species
GACGAACGCUGGCGGCGUGCUUAACACAUGCAAGUCGAGCGGAAAGGCCACUUCGGUGGUACUCGAGCGGCGAACGGGUGAGUAACACGUGAGUAAUCUGCCCCUGGCUUUGGGAUAGCCACCGGAAACGGUGAUUAAUACUGGAUACGACCACUUCUCGCAUGGGAUGGUGGUGGAAAGUUUUUUCGGCCAGGGAUGUGCUCGCGGCCUAUCAGCUUGAUGGUGAGGUAAUGGCUCACCAUGGCUUCGACGGGUAGCCGGCCUGAGAGGGUGACCGGUCAAACUGGGACUGGGACACGGCCCAGACUCCUACGGGAGGCAGCAGUGGGGAAUAUUGGACAAUGGGCGGAAGCCUGAUCCAGCAACGCCGCGUGAGGGAUGACGGCCUUCGGGUUGUAAACCUCUUUCAGCAGGGACGAAGCGCAAGUGACGGUACCUGCAGAAGAAGCACCGGCCAACUACGUGCCAGCCGCCGCAGUAA